UACGGGGGGGGUAAGCGUUGUUCGGAAUUACUGGGCGUAAAGGGUUCGUAGGUGGCCAACUAAGUCAUACGUGAAAUCCCUCAGCUUAACUGGGGAACUGCGUCUGAUACUGGAUGGCUUGAGUUUGGGAGAGGGAUGCGGAAUUCCAGGUGUAGCGGUGAAAUGCGUAGAUAUCUGGAGGAACACCGGUGGCGAAGGCGGCAUCCUGGACCAACACUGACACUGAUGAGCGAAAGCCAGGGGAGCAAACGGG
rnacentral:rRNA from 1 species